rnacentral:rRNA from 1 species
GAUGAACGCUGGCGGCGUGCCUAAUACAUGCAAGUCGAGCGAACGGACGAGAAGCUUGCUUCUCUGAUGUUAGCGGCGGACGGGUGAGUAACACGUGGAUAAUCUACCUAUAAGACUGGGAUAACUUCGGGAAACCGGAGCUAAUACCGGAUGAUAUUUUGAACCGUAUGGUUCAAAAGUGAAAGACGGUCUUGCUGUCACUUAUAGAUGGAUCCGCGCUGCAUUAGCUAGUUGGUAAGGUAACGGCUUACCAAGGCAACGAUGCAUAGCCGACCUGAGAGGGUGAUCGGCCACACUGGAACUGAGACGCGGUCCAGACUCCUACGAGAGGCAGCAGUAGGGAAUCUUCCGCAAUGGGCGAAAGCCUGACGGAGCAACGCCGCGUGAGUGAUGAAGGUCUUCGGAUCGUAAAACUCUGUUAUUAGGGAAGAACAUAUGUGUAAGUAACUGUGCACAUCUUGACGGUACCUAAUCAGAAAGCCACGGCUAACUACGUG